ACCUACGGGGGGCAGCAGUGGGGAAUAUUGGGCAAUGGGCGCAAGCCUGACCCAGCAACGCCGCGGGAAGGAAGAAGGCUUUUGGGUUGUAAACUUCUUUUCUCAGGGACGAAGCAAGUGACGGUACCUGAGGAAUAAGCCACGGCUAACUACGUGCCAGCAGCCGCGGUAAUACGUAGGUGGCAAGCGGUAUCCGGAUUUACUGGGUGUAAAGGGCGUGUAGGCGGGAGUGGAAGUAAG
rnacentral:rRNA from 1 species